rnacentral:rRNA from 1 species
UACGUAGGGUGCAAGCGUUAAUCGGAAUUACUGGGCGUAAAGCGUGCGUAGGCGGUUUGGCAAGAAAGAUGUGAAAUCCCAGGGCUUAACCUUGGAACUGCAUUUUUAACUGCCAGGCUAGAGUAUGUCAGAGGGGGGUAGAAUUCCACGUGUAGCAGUGAAAUGCGUAGAGAUGUGGAGGAAUACCGAUGGCGAAGGCAGCCCCCUGGGAUAAUACUGACGCCCAGACACGAAAGCGUGGGGAGCAAACAGG